GACGAACGCUGGCGGCGCGCCUAACACAUGCAAGUCGAACGAGCGAGAGAGAGCUUGCUUUCUUGAGCGAGUGGCGAACGGGUGAGUAACGCGUGAGGAACCUGCCUCAAAGAGGGGGACAACAGUUGGAAACGACUGCUAAUACCGCAUAAGCCCACGGUGCCGCACGGCACAGAGGGAAAAGGAACAAUCCGCUUUGAGAUGGCCUCGCGUCCGAUUAGCUAGUUGGUGAGGUAACGGCCCACCAAGGCGACGAUCGGUAGCCGGACUGAGAGGUUGAACGGCCACAUUGGGACUGAGACACGGCCCAGACUCCUACGGGAGGCAGCAGUGGGGAAUAUUGCACAAUGGGGGAAACCCUGAUGCAGCGACGCCGCGUGGAGGAAGAAGGUCUUCGGAUUGUAAACUCCUGUUGUUGGGGAAGAUAAUGACGGUACCCAACAAGGAAGUGACGGCUAACUACGUG
rnacentral:rRNA from 1 species